rnacentral:rRNA from 1 species
GACGAACGCUGGCGGCGUGCUUAACACAUGCAAGUCGAACGGAAAGGCCCUGCUUUUGUGGGGUGCUCGAGUGGCGAACGGGUGAGUAACACGUGAGUAACCUGCCCUUGACUUUGGUAUAACUUCAGGAAACUGGGGCAAUACCGGUUACGAGCUCCUGCUGCAUGGUGGGGGUUGGAAUGUUUCGGCGGUUGGGGAUGGACUCGCGGCUUAUCAGCUUGUUGGUGGGGUAGUGGCUUACCAAGGCUUUGACGGGUAGCCGGCAUGAGAGGGUGACCGGCCACAUUGGGACUGAGAUACGGACCAGACGCGUACGGGAGGCAGCAGGGGGGAAUAUUGCACAAUGGGCGGAAGCCUGAUGCAGCAACGCCGCGUGCGGGAUGACGGCCUUCGGGGUGUAAACAGCUUUCGGCUGUGACGAAGCGUGAGUGACGGUAAUGGGUAAAGAAGCACCGGCUAACUACGUG